AUAAACAUGAGAAAAGAGUCGUAUCUUCACUUAAAAUGCAUCUUGAACAAUCGGGUCCCACUUAGCGAGGACCCCUAUGACACCGGCUGUCGCAAUGCCUUGGCGCAAGAUGCAACGGGGGCAGUUGUCCCGAACGAAGGACACGAGACAUUUGCUUUGUAUGCCGAGGUGAAAUACUACUUGGAGACUGGAAAUUACCACGAGGAGAGUGAGAUCUGAUGUUGAAAGGAAGAGAGUUGUGAGACGUGCUUCAAAGAAGUUCAAGGUUCAGGGGAUGGAUUUGAUGGGGCCAUUUCCAGUCACUCCUCAGGGAAACAGUUAUGUCCUCACAAUGACAGACCUCUUCACAAAGUGGGUUAUUGCUGAGCCAUUGAAGAAUAAGACUGCACCUGAGGUAGCAGCGGUGGUUUAGGACCAACUGUUUGGAUUUGGAUUGGUGGAAAGAAUAAUCACAGACCAAGGGAGGGAGUUUGUGAACCAGGUCAACGAGGAUAUGUUAGAAAGUCCUGGGUGUGACAUCAGCUUACCCCCAGUCUAAUGGACAGGAUGAGAGGACCAACCAGACCAUUAAGAGGGCAUUGUCUAAGUAUUACAACGACAAGCAGAAUGACUGGGACAAACAUUUGAAAGGUGUGGUGUAUGCUAUCAACAUCUCAAAACAAGGAUAUGGAACUGUUCCACACUUGAACAGCUCUGUGUUCUAAGGUUCUGAACAAUAUAGAAAAUGCCAAGCAAAAGCAAAAGGAAAAAUGUGAAAUCAUUUCACAUCCAUGAAGGGGAAGAAGUACUAAAAGCCAACAAGCGAAAAGAGGGGCACAAAGGUGGACGCUUGGAGAGCAACUGGACUGGGCCUUUUCUUGUGAAAGACAUUACGAAGAAAGGGCUGGCUACCCUUUCUGACAAAUCAGGCAACAUUCUCUGUCAAAAAACAAAUGUUUCUCAACUGGAACCCUUUCUGAGAUGCAAUAUCAAGAUGGAUGUGCACCGGUCAUCCAUCCAGAGGGCUUCUGUGCCUACAAUCGGACACUGGAAUAGGAUCAAGCAUCCCUGCCACAUGACAACUGGAUAAGUGGCUUGGAGAAUGGAUAAAUAACACUUAUUGUUACAAAGUAGAUUUAAAUCAGUAAUUUGAGUUCUGUUGUACCAAAGUGCAAAGUUACAGAAAUACAAAUAAAAAAUUCUAUAGAUUUUAAAAAAUAAUUUGUGAAAAAUCCAAUGUGUUCACAGAAAUCGUUCCAUUUUCCAUUGAUCACUUAAAAAUUUUGGAGCUGGAAGAGGUAGGAUAACAGCAGGCUCCAUUUAAAUUAGAGCGAUUAUAUAAAUUAUUGUUAUUAUUUUUUUAAGGAAAUGUUUCUGAGAAUAAACGAGGAAAUGGAUCGGAUGAUUAACUUUGCUCGAUGUAAGGCCACACUGUAAGAUUUUGAAAGACUGUGUCCACAAAAGAAAAGUUUUCCAUGGCUAAAUGAUGACGUUAGUAUCUAUAUUUUAACUACUUUUAUCUGCUAAAGACAUAAUUGUGACGAGUGGGGCGGGCCGAGAGCCCG